rnacentral:misc_RNA from 1 species
AAGACUAUAGACCUGCGGAGUACCUGCGGAAGGAUCAUUAAAGAGAAAACUGCCCUUUGGGUAGAUUUCCCACCCUUUGUUUACUUUACCUUUGUUGCUUUGGCAGGCCCGUCUUCUGACCACCGGCUUCUAGCUGGUCCGUGCCUGCCAGAGGACCCCCAACUCUUGAUUUUAAGUUGUCCGAGUCUUAUAUAAUAGUAAAAACUUUUAACAAUGGAUCUCUAGAUCGGAAGAGCACAC